CCCUCGCUGUUUUAUAGAUGAAGCGUGGAGAAACAAGUCUGCGAGUGCCUGACCACUGCCCAGCUGGGAGGAGAAAGGAUGACAACCAGUCUGGGUAACCCUGCUGCUCCCAGCCACGGGACCCCCCUGGUCACAGCCCCACCAGUGAUGAGACCCUCAGGGCACAAGCAGGAGCUCCCCGUGUUGGAACAGUUUCACCAGGCUGAGCCCAUUAUGGCUGAAUAAAGUCGUUGCAGCAUGUUUUCUGUCCCAGUUCUGGAAGAUGGGAUCCCAUGUGACAGGAAGGUACAGGCUGUGGGAGUGGAAGCUGUGGAAAGGCUUCUGUGAAGCUGAAAACAUCUUCUGUGAGAUUUAUCAAUUCUUGGUAAAUUUGCUGCAGGAAGAAAAAAGGAAGAACAAAAAGAGAAGCACAGUUGCGCUUUGAGAAUGCUUUUAUGUGGCCUGAAGUUCUUAUUCUCCCCGCAAAGCUGCCUUUUCUUGCUCGAGCAUCAAAAUUUUGUUGUCUAUCACGCACGGGAUCGUAGCUGGUGUUUAAGGAUGGCUCUUAAUGUUGAGUUUGGAGUUGCCAUAGUGCAAAAAAGAAAUAUAAAUAUAGUGGGAGCCAGUGGGUUUUCAACCUAUCCCACCCAAACUUAUGCCACGUGUGCUAGCCAGGUGGUGAGGGCUGGGCUGCCGCUGGUGCCUUCGCUGAGGUCUGACAGAGCAGAGACCCCGGGCAGGGUUAUCUUUCAUACCUGCCGGCAUUGCAGUGGCUGCAGGAUGGAAGGGGGCUCUGGUGAUUUUUAUACAAUUUGAGGAAAUGGCCUUCCAGUGCAGGCAGGGCACUGCCGUGUUUCCGCUGCUGCUGCUGGAUCCCAGCCCUUCUGCUUGCAGUAUCGCUGCUUGAAAUCCCCAUCUCCCUGCCUGAGGAAGAUAAACUUGACAUGGCGAGCUAGGAAGCCCGUGAAAAUGUGCAAAGCUAGCAAGUUUUUUUCCAGUUGCACUGCACGGCUUCCUGCACGCUAAUCUCUUUCUCUGAAUAUCUCCAGCAGCCAGCCAAAAUAAUCCUUUCAUGGAAAUGCUCUCACGGGGAACAGGAAAGGGCUGCGAACACAGACCCAUAAAUCUCGUGGGGGGCUCGCCCUGUCUCGCCUCCCUCGCUCCCUGCUCAGCUCCUGGCUGCAAGGGUGCUGCUGAAAGUGUGGAAUAAAACCUGGGGAGAUCCUAAAUGCAAAUACCAGAGGGCACGGGCUGCUUGGCUGC